CCUGGCCCCCCCAGAGGAGGGGGAGGUGCUGUACACCCACGUCGUGGUCACCAAGAGGGCAGGGGCGUCCUCUCGUGCCACCACCCUCCAGGAUCCCCAGGUGACCUACGCUGAGCUGCAGAGACCCCAGGGGCGACCACAGGAACCCGGUGACAUCUACGGGAAUGUGCUGUGACACUGGGGGGAACUGGGGGCACUGGGGGUCCCCACCCAUGGGCACCAACUCGUGCGUGUGCUGCCAAUAAAAACUGCCCCUCUCCCUCCCAGUGGGGGCACAAAGAUGCAAAGGGUUGAGAGAAGAACAAUUUCUUGCAAUAGAAAUGAGAGAGAAUAAAACCAACAGAAACCAGA